rnacentral:rRNA from 1 species
CGCAGGCGGUUCUUUAAGUCUGAUGUGAAAGCCCCCGGCUCAACCCGGGGAGGGUCAUUGGAAACUGGGGAACUUGAGUGCAGAAGAGGAGAGUGGAAUUCCACGUGUAGCGGUGAAAUGCGUAGAGAUGUGGAGGAACACCAGUGGCGAAGGCGACUCUCUGGUCUGUAACUGACGCUGAGGAGCGAAAGCGUGGGGAGCGAACAGGAUUAGAUACCCUGGUAGUCCACGCCGUAAACGAUGAGUGCUAAGUGUUAGGGGGUUUCCGCCCCUUAGUGCUGCAGCUAACGCAUUAAGCACUCCGCCUGGGGAGUACGGUCGCAAGACUGAAACUCAAAGGAAUUGACGGGGGCCCGCACAAGCGGUGGAGCAUGUGGUUUAAUUUGAAGCAACGCGAAGAACCUUACCAGGUCUUGACAUCCUUUGACAAUCCUAGAGAUAGGACGUCCCCUUCGGGGGCAGAGUGACAGGUGGUGCAUGGUUGUCGUCAGCUCGUGUCGUGAGAUGUUGGGUUAAGUCCCGCAACGAGCGCAACCCUUGAUUUUAGUUGCCAGCAUUCAGUUGGGCACUUUAAGGUGACUGCCGGUGACAAACCGGAGGAAGGUGGGGAUGACGUCAAAUCAUCAUGCCCCUUAUGACCUGGGCUACACACGUGCUACAAUGGACAGAACAAAGGGCAGCGAAACCGCGAGGUUAAGCCAAUCCCACAAAUCUGUUUUCAGUUCGGAUCGCAGUUUGCAACUUGACUGCGUGAAGCUGGAAUCGCUAGUAAUCGCGGAUCAGCAUGCCGCGGUGAAUACGUUCCCGGGCCUUGUACACACCGCCCGUCACACCCCGAGAGUUUGUAACACCCGAAGUCGGUGAGGUAACCUUUAUGGAGCCAGCCGCCGAAGGUGGGACAGAUGAUUGGGGUGAAGUCGUAACAAGGUAGCCGUAUCGGAA